rnacentral:lncRNA from 1 species
GAUAGGAGGCGGUUUAGGGAACCCAGCACCGACCGCGGAGGGUUCGGGGAGUCCCAGAAUUAGGAGGAAUCCGCGGGGCGUCGUGGAGUUGGCUGGGUUGUGGGCGGGGGGUGUUGGGGAUGAAGGCCGAGUGGAGUGGAGGGUGGCACGGUGCAGUGCCCCAGGGGGAUAAGCCGGAAGGAGGAGAGAACCUGUGUCAUGCUUAUGCAUACAUCCCAGUGUCCCACAUCCCCGACCAUGUCACAAGCAGAUGCAAUCCAGCUGUGCCUGCAGGGAGGGGGCCGCCCAUCUGUGGAGGGUGGGACCACCCACAGUGACAGCUCAUCUCUCAGGAAUCCAGCCCUCCAUGCCCCAGGCCAGGUCCCCCUACCAAUAUGUCCUCACCCACAGGCAUCCCCUCCUUCCAUCUACUUUUCUUGUAGGUCCCUGCCAC